rnacentral:rRNA from 1 species
CGUGUAGGCGGAUUAAUAAGUCAGUGGUGAAAUCUUUCGGCUCAACCGAGAAACUGCCAUUGAUACUGUUAAUCUUGAGUUCGGUUGAGGUAGGCGGAAUGUGUAAUGUAGCGGUGAAAUGCUUAGAUAUUACACAGAACACCAAUUGCGUAGGCAGCUUACUAGACCGACACUGACGCUGAGGCACGAAAGCGUGGGGAGCGAACAGGAUUAGAUACCCUGGUAGUCC